rnacentral:misc_RNA from 2 species
UGCAUCGAACUGCUUCCCUCACUUUCGAUCAGUUGUUGCUCCACGAGAUAAACGUUGGACGCAAGACAUGGGUUCCUGUGUUGCAUACCUAUUGCGACGGAAAUGUGUGCCUUCGAUCGUCCCUUCCAUCACGGCGUCCUCACGGAUGCUCGGUUGGACCGGAUAGUGGGGCUCGUGUUCCACGAACGUCGUCUCAUUCGAUCGUUCGGAUGGACCACGGGUGCCUACUCGUUCUCUCGGAUGCGGAACUCUCUUAAUGGGCGUGGGGUCAUUGGCCCUUGGUCCCUAAUCGUUAAGCGUUUAUCGCUUCACCGGAAUGACGAUCUCGCCUUGUCCUUGACCACGCGAAGCCCUCGGGCAUCGCGACGGAUCAUGCUCGGCGGACGUCGUGAAGGAAUGC